GGUUCUAUGGUGUAAUGGUUAGCACUUUAGACUCUGACAAUCUGAGUUCAAAUCUCAGUAGGACCU
rfam:Daphnia pulex DAPPTscaffold_1470_Cont12911, whole genome shotgun sequence.